GGGCGCUUAGCUCAGCUGGUUUAGAGCGCUGCCCUUACAAGGCAGAGGUCAUCCGUUCGAACCGGAUAGCGCCCACAA
rnacentral:tRNA from 1 species